AUUGAACGCUGGCGGCAGGCCUAACACAUGCAAGUCGAACGGUAACAGGAAACAGCUUGCUGUUUCGCUGACGAGUGGCAGACGGGUGAGUAAUGUCUGGGAAACUGCCUGAUGGAGGGGGAUAACUACUGGAAACGGUAGCUAAUACCGCAUAACGUCGCAAGACCAAAGAGGGGGACCUUCGGGCCUCUUGCCAUCGGAUGUGCCCAGAUGGGAUUAGCUAGUAGGUGGGGUAACGGCUCACCUAGGCGACGAUCCCUAGCUGGUCUGAGAGGAUGACCAGCCACACUGGAACUGAGACACGGUCCAGACUCCUACGGGAGGCAGCAGUGGGGAAUAUUGCACAAUGGGCGCAAGCCUGAUGCAGCCAUGCCGCGUGUAUGAAGAAGGCCUUCGGGUUGUAAAGUACUUUCAGCGGGGAUGAAGGGAGUAAAGUUAAUACCUUUGCUCAUUGACGUUACCCGCAGAAGAAGCACCGGCUAACUCCGUG
rnacentral:rRNA from 1 species